rnacentral:rRNA from 1 species
GACAGAGGGGGCGAGCGUUGUUCGGAAUCACUGGGCGUAAAGCGCACGCAGGCGGAUCGAUAAGUCGGGGGUGAAAGCCCGGGGCUCAACCUCGGAAUUGCCUUCGAUACUGUCGGUCUCGAGUCCGGGAGAGGUGAGUGGAAUUCCUAGUGUAGAGGUGAAAUUCGUAGAUAUUAGGAAGAACACCAGUGGCGAAGGCGGCUCACUGGCCCGGUACUGACGCUCAGGUGCGAAAGCGUGGGGAGCAAACAGG